rnacentral:lncRNA from 1 species
GUUUUCCUGGUCAGAUGACUCUCCUACAUGGUUCUCCUCCACAUGAUGUCACAGGGACACCAGGCUCUGUUGGUUUUAUGGCUCCGCUCUCUACUAUGGCCUCAGAGAACUCUCCAAUUGGCCAGCAGAUAGGAAAAGGUCAACAUAGCCAUGUGACUAUCACCCAGAUCAAGAAAUAGAACAUUACCACCAUCUCAAAUACCAGCUGGAUGAGACCUCUGUGUCAUCAGUCCAGGACAAGAUGGAUGUGGUCCCAAAGGCUGGAGAAAAGCCUGCAGCUGGGGUACAGCUUCAUCCUACUGCUACCAGAAACCUCUUCUGACAAGACCCACCCUUGCCUGUCUGAGCUCAGAGCCCUUCUAGAAUCUGGAUGUGGUCCUGAGUCCCUGGAGGGCAGGAGCCAGGCCUCGCCCUUGCUCUGCUGCCCCUCCCGCUCCCCGCCCCCGC